GACGAACGCUGGCGGCGUGCUUAACACAUGCAAGUCGAACGGAAAGGCGCUGCUUUUGUGGGGUGCUCGAGUGGCGAAGGGGAGAGUAACAUGUGAGUAACCUGCCCUGGACUUUGGGACAACUUCAGGAAACUGGGGCUAAUACCGGAUAGGAGCUUCUGCUUCAUGGUGGUGGUUGGACAGGUUCGGCUGUUGGGGAUGGACUCGCGGCUUAUCAGCUUGUUGGUGGGGUAGUUGCUUACCAAGGCUUUGACGGGUAGCCGGCCUGAGAGGGUGACCGGCCACAUUGGGACUGAGAUACGGCCCAGACUCCUACGGGAGGCAGCAGUGGGGAAUAUUGUACAGUGGGCGGGAGCCUGAUGCGGCAGCGCCGCGUGCGGGAUGAAGGCCUUCGGGUUGUAAAGCGCUUUCGCCUGUGACGAAGCGUGAGUGACGGUAAUGGGUAAAGAAGCACCGGCUAACUACGUG
rnacentral:rRNA from 1 species